rnacentral:rRNA from 1 species
UGGUGGAGUGAUUUGUCUGGUUAAUUCCGUUAACGAACGAGACCUCGUCCUGCUAAAUAGUACGACGAAUCCUUUUCCAAAGGAUUCGGGCAAUUGAGCCAGAGUGACUUCUUAGAGGGACUAUUGGUGAUUUAGCCAAUGGAAGUUCGAGGCAAUAACA